GCCCAAGAGAUCGGGAUAACACCUGGAAACAGAUGCUAAUACCGGAUAACAACAGAUGAUGCCUAUCAACUGUUUAAAAGAUGGUUCUGCUAUCACUAUUGGAUGGACCUGCGGUGCAUUAGCUAGUUGGUAGGGUAACGGCCUACCAAGGCGAUGAUGCAUAGCCGAGUUGAGAGACUGAUCGGCCACAUUGGGACUGAGACACGGCCCAAACUCCUACGGGAGGCAGCAGGA
rnacentral:rRNA from 1 species